UGAAUAAUUAAUCUCCGAGCCAGAAUGACCUAAAGAGGCAAAUCUAUGGUCACUGGACAGGAUCUAGGUCCUCAGGGUGUUCCUGGAAACAGGUAUGCCUUCACAUUUUGAAAAGGAGUAGCACGUAUUAGACUG
rnacentral:ncRNA from 2 species